GACGAACGCUGGCGGCGUGCUUAACACAUGCAAGUCGAACGGAAAGGCCCUGCUUUUGUGGGGUGCUCGAGUGGCGAACGGGUGAGUAACACGUGAGUAACCUGCCCUUGACUUUGGGAUAACUUCAGGAAACUGGGGCUAAUACCGGAUAGCAGCUCCUGCUGCAUGGUGGGGGUUGGAAAGUUUCGGCGGGUGGGGAUGGACUCGCGGCUUAUCAGCUUGCUGGUGGGGUAGUUGCUUACCAAGGCUUUGGCGGGUAGCCGGCCUGAGAGGGUGACCGGGGACAAUGGGACUGAGAGACGGCCCAGACUCCAACAGGAGGCAGCGGUGGGGAAUAUUGCACAAUGGGCGGAAGCCUGAUGCAGCAACGCCCCGUGCGGGAUGACGGCCUUCGGGUUGUAAACCGCUUUCGCCUGUGACGAAGCGUGAGUGACGGUAAUGGAUAAAGAAGCACCGGCUAACUACGUG
rnacentral:rRNA from 1 species